UUCCGGUUGAUCCUGCCGGACCCCACUGCUAUCGGGGUAGGACUAAAACAUGCAAGUCGAGCGCCUUCAAGCUAUGGUGAAGGCGCGGCGAACGGCUCAGUAACACGUGGCUAACCUACCCUUUGGACGGGGACAACCCCGGGAAACUGGGCCUAAUCCCCGAUAGAUGAGAAGUCCUGGAAUGGUUUCUCAUCUAAAAGGUGUUUAGAGCAUGCUUCUAGGCGUCGCCAAAGGAUGGGGCCGCGGCCGAUCAGGUUGUUGGUGAGGUAACGGCUCACCAAGCCUAUAACCGGUACGGGCCGUGAGAGCGGGAGCCCGGAGAUGGGCACUGAGACAAGGGCCCAGGCCCUACGGGGCGCAGCAGUUGCGAAAACUCCGCAAUGCACGAAAGUGUGACGGGGCUACCCCGAGUGCCGUCCGCUGAGGGCGGCUUUUCCCGGGUGUAAGGAGCCGGGGGAAUAAGGAGAGGGCAAGUCUGGUGUCAGCCGCCGCGGUAAUACCAGCUCUCCGAGUGGUAGGGAUGAUUAUUGGGCUUAAAGCGUUCGUAGCCGGCUCAGCAAGUCUUCCGUUAAAUCCAGCGAUUUAAUCGUUGGGCUGCGGAAGAUACUGUUGGGCUAGGGGACGGGAGAAGCCGACGGUAUUCUCGGGGUAGGGGCGAAAUCCUAUAAUCCCGGGAGGACCACCAGUGGCGAAGGCGGUCGGCUAGAACGCGCCCGACGGUGAGGGACGAAAGCUGGGGGAGCGAACCGGAUUAGAUACCCGGGUAGUCCUGGCCGUAAACGAUGCAUACUAGGUGAUGGUACGGCCAUGAGCCGUAUCAGUGCCGUAGGGAAACCGUUAAGUGUGCCGCCUGGGAAGUACGGUCGCAAGGCUAAAACUUAAAGGAAUUGGCGGGGGAGCACC
rnacentral:rRNA from 1 species